ACCGCGAUAGCUCAGUUGGCAGAGCAUCUGUCCGGUAAGCGGAGUAUCGCCGGUACGAUGCCAGCUCGCGGCG
rnacentral:tRNA from 1 species